GUUCACAGCCAGCUGCCAGGGGCUCCUGUGAGUGUUAAUCUGUUAGCCAUGGUGAAAUGAUUGGAGAUCUGCUCCUGCUGGUUGCCAGAUAAAUUCUUCCUAUGACAAUGUCACUAGGUUAAUUAAUUCAAUUAAUGACUCCCAGUGCAAUGUUUUUCUUUGUCUUUCUCAUUUGCCACAGGCUGCUGAACAGCUUUGCUCUACAGAUGCCACAAACUGCAAAUUUGCUUUUGCCCUUGAAAAGAGGAACUUCCAAGCUGGAUCAGCCCUCAGGUGUAUCUGCCUUAUCACUCCAGAUCCAAUAACAGAUCUGUUCUCUGGUUGGAAGUUUAAAAUGUAGAAAAAUGCAUCUUACAUCUAGCUGGUGGGUAUUUUAUUAAGGAAAAAGUGAAAGGAAAGAUGCUUCCAAAGGGGACAUGUGGAAAGGAUCUCAGAGGCAGCCUCAAGAUUCUCUCUCUUGAAUGCCACCUCAUUUUGGUGGGCAAAACCAGGAGGGUUUGGAGAGAGCAGCCUUCACUUUUUAGAUCAGCUCAUCUAAAAAUGGGAAUAAAGCACAGAGCAAGAGUGAAAUGAGAAUGAAAGUCAAUUUUUCUUCUCAAGCUUCAGCUAAGAAGCAAAGCAGGGUCAUCAUGACCAACAUCCCAGUCAUAGUCUCUGGUUGUGCACCACCAUUCCUGGGGCUUCCUGCAGAUCCCUGUGGAUUUCCAUUAUAAAUUGAUAUUUGUACUGAGGUUACCCUGUAUUAUCUCCACUAUGUUUCCCAUUCAUGGCUUUGUUUUUAUUCCUUUUUCUUGAAUACAAGGUGAAAACCCGUUUGAAUGUAAAUUCUGGGUUUGGCAAAGAACUGAAACAAGCUGUAAAUCCAAAUCCCACCACCACUGAGGCUCUGCCCUGGCAGCUGUUUUGGGUUAGCCCCCAUUUGGUACGUGACUAAAUCAGGCUCAGAAUAAUUUUAAUCAUCUGGAUGAUUAAAACUGAUUUAAACCCAGUGAAGGCUCUAAAGGGCUUCCAGCGAAAGCUGUGUCUUGCUCUGGGGCAUCCUAACAACCUGGAGGAAAAAUGCAGAGAGGAACAAGUUGAGCUGUAACCAGGAGAUCCAUGCUGGCUCUUAGCAUCCCCCAAAAGCUGAGGAGCAGCUCACAGCUGGUGUCAGCCCUGCAGUAAAGGUGUGAACGUGGAAAACCCUCUCUCUGAAGGACCAGAGAGAGAUGCCUGGCCAUUUGCCCCACAGAGGAAUAUCUGGCAUUUGGGGCUGUAUUUUCAGAGACUCUCAGCUGGCUCCCAGUGCUUUUCCCUGUGCCGUAUUCACCUCUCUGAAUUGUGGAUUCCAGGGUCAGGGGAGCAGAGGGUGAGGUGUCCCUGCUGCUUUGGGAGGUGUCUGCUCUCCCCACACCAGGUGCACACCCUUGGCUUUGUUUCCAGGCACAGUAAGAAGUAUUUUGCUUGAGUAAAGGCAAGGAGGAUCAGGCUCCACAGCGCAAUUUGAUAUGAAAAUGAAGUGGAUGAGAAGUGAAGUGGAUGCUUCUCUCCAGCCCAUGCAGGAGGAGAGAGCAGGGACACCUCAGGUUCAGUGCUGAGCUCUGCCAGCCUUAAACAAAGCCUGCCCUAAAGUUUAUGGCAUCUUCUGACACUUGUCAUCUCAUGAAAAGCCCAUUAUCCCCCCGAGGGGGAAAUCACCAUGUGCUUUUCUUUAAAUCCAACCCAAACAUAUCAUUUUUAAAUAGAAACACUCUGGUGCUUGGUGCCAGGGCCCUUCAGCAGGAGCAGCUGCCCAGGAGCAGCAUUUCACUGGAGCUGCUGCUUCCCUGCAGCAAAGGCUGUCCUUUGUCCCUAGAAACCAGGGUAUGCAAAUUUGGGCAAUGGAUCUUAAUUAUGAGCAGCAGGUGUCUGUGCAAGAGAGCUCAGGUGAGGGGGCAGCCAGCUCCCUGCCUUGCACAAAGGGAGGGCUGCAAAGUUCCAAUUAAUUAUCCACCUUAAUGAGCUUGGCGACCCAAGUGAAAGGAGAGGGCCUUGUCUGCUGCUCCCAUUUGGUUUUCUCCACAAACAGUAGUUUAAAAAGCAGUGAUGCAGCUCAGCCUCUGAAGAGCAGCAAGGAUGAAAUUACCAUGAUGAACCUGAAGAAAUCAAUUUGUGGGAGUGCAGACUAUGAUGGAUCAUCCUGCUGGAGAAAUUAAUUGUCUGAGGAACAUUUCUUCAGGAUGUCUUGACCAGAGGAGCAUCUUCCCAGUGUGUUGGAAUACUCCCGAGUGAGAACUGAAUCAUCUCUGCUUGUUUGGAGGAAAUGCAGGACAAAACAUUUCAAGCCACUUUAAACAGGAUGAAUGGAUGAAGGCUUCAAGGCUCUUGAAGGCCACAAUGAGGUCACCCCAAAGCCUUCUCUUUCCCAGACCGAGCAAUCCCAGUGCUCUCAGCCUUCCCCGCUCAAGAGCUGCUCCAUCCCUCUGACCAUCUCGGUGACCUCCUCUGGACUCUAUGCCUGACGGGAGAUGAAAAUUGUAGGGAUUUUAUAAACCCUGGAGGAACAGCCCCUCGAAUAUUUCUGUGGAGGAGCACAGGCAUGGAAAGAUGGGAUAGCAGGGAAUGGAAGGGGCAGGGCUGGGGACAGGAACAGGAGACAGGGGCAGUGACAGGGGACAUGAGCAGGGGACAGAGGCAGUG